rnacentral:rRNA from 1 species
GUUAAAAAGCUCGUAGUUGGAUUUCUGGGUCAAGCUCCUGGUCCGCGGUAUUUGCCGUGCUGACUGUGUGUAGCGUUGACUCAUCCUUGUGGGAAAGUCAGCAGGGCGUUCGUUCGUCGGCUGUCGGAACCGCAUCUUUUACUGUGAAAAAAUUAGAGUGUUCAAAGCAGGCUUACGCUGUGAAUACAUUGGCAUGGAAUAAUAAGAUAGGACUUUGGUUCUAUUUUGUUGGUUGGAGGCCAAGGUAAUGACUAAUAGGGAUAGUUGGGGGUAUUCAUAUUUAAUUGUCAGAGGUGAAAUUCUUGGAUUUAUGAGAGAUGAACUUAUGCGAAAGCAUUUACCAAGGAUGUUUUCAUUAAUCAAGAACGAAAGUUAGGGGAUCGAAGAGGAUUAGAUACCCUCGUAGUCUUAACCAUAAACUAUGGCGACUCGGGAUUGGAGGGCGUAUAUCAAUGAGCCUUUCAGCACCGUAUGAGAAAACAAAGUCUUUGGGUUCCGGGGGGAGUAUGGUCGCAAGGCUGAAACUUAAAGGCAUUGACGGAAGGGCACCACCAGGAGUGGAGCCUGCGGCUUAAUUUGACUCAACACGGGGAAACUCACCAGGUCCGGACA